ACGCUCGACACCUACGGAGGCAGCAGUGAGGAAUAUUGGUCAAUGGGCGCUAGCCUGAACCAGCCAAGUAGCGUGAAGGAUGAAGGCUCUAUGGGUCGUAAACUUCUUUUAUAUAAGAAUAAAGUGCAGUAUGUAUACUGUUUUGUAUGUAUUAUAUGAAUAAGGAUCGGCUAACUCCGUGCCAGAAGCCGCGGUAAUCUGAGCGGGCUGGCAAGGC
rnacentral:rRNA from 1 species